UGGGGAAUAUUGGGCAAUGGGCGCAAGCCUGACCCAGCAACGCCGCGUGAAGGAAGAAGGCUUUCGGGUUGUAAACUUCUUUUAAGAGGGAAGAGCAGAAGACGGUACCUCUAGAAUAAGCCACGGCUAACUACGUGCCAGCAGCCGCGGUAAUACGUAGGUGGCGAGCGUUGUCCGGAAUUACUGGGUGUAAAGGGAGUGUAGGCGGGAAUGCAAGUCAGAAGUGAAAACUAUGGGCUUAACCCAUAGCCUGCUUUUGAAACUGUAUUUCUUGAGUGAAGCAGAGGCAAGCGGAAUUCCUAGUGUAGCGGUGAAAUGCGUAGAUAUUAGGAGGAACACCAGUGGCGAAGGCGGCUUGCUGGGCUUUUACUGACGCUGAGG
rnacentral:rRNA from 1 species